GGGGGGGACGUACCCCCAGGACUGCUCAGAUCCCAAGAGGGUGUCGCCGCUCUUCAUACUGUCCAAAUGGUUGGAAAACAUGAAUAUGCAGCUCAAGUAUGUGUCUAUGUGACAGCAUGCCUGUCGCCUCUAGAAAUCCAAGCUUGAAAGUAUUGCCAGGGGUUUAGAAUCACUGCAGGGACUGGAGAUCUGAGUUUGGAGGGAUCUGGCUGUUUGGACCACCACAGGGAUGACCUGUGCACUCGCUGCAAGAGCGCACGCAGCAGGUGUCAGCUGUCAUGUCUGCAGACGCGCUACUUCAUUCUCUUUGGUGUCUGUCUUACUCCUCCGUGCAGGUCAGCAAGCCAAUGGCAUAGUCAGAGUUUGACAGUUAGGAUUAUUGCCUAUAAAGCUGUGCAGAAAUAGAAGUAUAGCCUGAGAAACAUUUCCACGGACCCAAGAUUUCUAUAUUUAUACAAAAGAUUGGUAAACAAAAGAUCGCUAAAUGUUAUUCAACUACAUAAAAACUGGUGAAGUACCAUUCUGGGUCUGGCUUCUCAGAGAAUGAAAUGCAGAGUCCACAUUCACAUUCCACGUAGAGAAACACACACAUUUCUCCAUCUGCCUGUCAGGUCUCUCAGUGCCUCAAAAGCAUCCCCACUCCGUGCGGGUGGCACUGGGCACUUGGGCGCUAGCGGAGCUGUCCUGCCCCUACCUGCUUCUUUUCUGUAAAUCACAUCAGUCUUCAGUGGUGCUUUAAAUUAAUUCCUGUGUGUUCCAUUAAAGUUUUAAUACAUAAUUUAAAGGGAUUAAAAACUCAUUUAUUAAUUUAAAAUAAUUCUUGUCUAAUAUCUCCAUUUGGAGAGUUUUGAACUAUCAAAGCAUGAGCUGUACACAUUAGAAUGUUUUUAAUGAGUAUUUUACUCAUUGACCUGUAAGCUCUACAACUGUUGAGAAAAACCACCACUAAAGUAGGACUGACAUCAACAAAGUGAGACUAAAACGAUUUUCCUUGGAGACAUUCCAGUUUGCUAUGGCAUCACCUCAAAUAAAUGGCGCUCUGACUGACACCCAAGGCCGCUCAGUGCUUCCCAGGCGCUCACACCCCUUCCCAGGGGCUCUGAGCACAGCCGGAGGCGAGGCAGGAGGCGCUGGCUCCCCUGAGCCUCUGACAAGGUUUCUUUUCCAUGUGCUCAGCACCACAGGCGAAGUGGCAAAUUGCAUGAGUUAUUUACUAGGGCAGUGAUGGCGAACCUAUGACACGCGUGUCAGAGGUGACACGCGAACUCAUUUUUUUGGUUGAUUUUUCUUUGUUAAAUGGCAUUUAAAUAUAUAAAAUAAAUAUCAAAAAUAUACAUCUUUGUUUUACGAUGGUUGCAAAUAUCAAAACAUUUCUGUAUGUGACACGGCACCAGAGUUAAGUUAGGGUUUUUCAAAAUGCUGACACGCCGAGCUCAAAAGGUUCGCCAUCACUGCCCUAGGUGGUACAGGGAGAGACUAAGCCAGGGAAACAGAGGACAUGGUGGGCAAAAUACUUACUGAAGUUGGAAUGUGGGUUUAUUUAUUGACGCCAGGAUUACCAGGGAGUAGAAUUAUUUUACUUUAUGUUUUUCAUCAUACUUAAUAUAUUUUUAAAGCUUCCUGU